rnacentral:rRNA from 1 species
CCUACGGGCGGCAGCAGUGAGGAAUAUUGGUCAAUGGACGAGAGUCUGAACCAGCCAAGUAGCGUGAAGGAUGACUGCCCUAUGGGUUGUAAACUUCUUUUAUAUGGGAAUAAAAUGUUCCACGUGUGGGAUUUUGUAUGUACCAUAUGAAUAAGGAUCGACUAACUCCGUGCCAGCAGCCGCGGUAAUACGGAGGAUCCGAGCGUUAUCCGGAUUUAUUGGGUUUAAAGGGAGCGUAGGUGGAUUGUUAAGUCAGUUGUGAAAGUUUGCGGCUCAACCGUAAAAUUGCAGUUGAAACUGGCAGUCUUGAGUACAGUAGAGGUGGGCGGAAUUCGUGGUGUAGCGGUGAAAUGCUUAGAUAUCACGAAGAACUCCGAUUGCGAAGGCAGUUCACUGGACUGCAACUGACACUGAGGCUCGAAAGUGUGGGUAUCAAACAGGAUUAGAUACCCCAGUAGUC